rnacentral:rRNA from 1 species
AUUGAACGCUGGCGGCAGGCCUAACACAUGCAAGUCGAGCGAGCGGCGGACGGGUGAGUAAUGUCUGGGAAACUGCCUGAUGGAGGGGGAUAAAUACUGGAAACGGUAGCUAAUACCGCAUACCACCAGAGGUGCCCAGAUGGGAUUUGCUAGGAGGUGGGGUAACGGCUCACCUAGCCGACGAUCCCUAGCUGGUCUGAGAGGAUGACCAGCCACACUGUAACUGAGCCACGGUCCAGACUCCUCCGGGAGGCAGCAGUGGGGAAUAUUGCACAAUGGGCGCAAGCCUGAUGCAGCCAUGCCGCGUGUGUGAAGAAGGCCUGCGGGUUGUAAAGCACUUUCAGCGGGGAGGCGUUACCCGCAGAAGAAGCACCGGCUAACUCCGUGCCAGCCGCCGCGGUAAUUC